AGCAGCCGCGGCAAUUCCAGCUCCAAUAGCGUAUAUUAAAGUUGUUGCAGUUAAAAAGCUCGUAGUUGAAUUUCGGGAUCAAAGGAUCGGUCAUGCCUUGGUAUGUACUGGUUUUAUUGGUUCUCACCUUCUAAAGAACCAUAAUGUCAUUCAUUUGAUGUUAUGGGGAAUUAGGACUGUUACCUUGAAAAAAUUAGAGUGUUUAAAGCAGGCUUACGCUUGAAUACAUUAGCAUGGAAUAAUGAAAUAGGACAUCAGAUUCUAUUUUGUUGGUUUCUAGGAUCGAUGUAAUGAUUAAUAGGGAUAGUUGGGGGCAUUAGUAUUCAAUUGUCAGAGGUGAAAUUCUUGGAUUUAUUGAAGACUAACUACUGCGAAAGCAUUUGCCAAGGAUGUUUUCAUUAAUCAAGAACGAAAGUUAGGGGAUCGAAGACGAUCAGAUACCGUCGUAGUCUUAACCAUAAACUAUGCCGACUAGGGAUCGGAUGAUGUUAAUUUUUAUAAUGACUCAUUCGGCACCUUA
rnacentral:rRNA from 1 species